rnacentral:rRNA from 1 species
UACGUAGGUGGCAAGCGUUGUCCGGAUUUACUGGGUGUAAAGGGCGUGUAGGCGGGAAUGUAAGUCAGAUGUGAAACUCCGGGGCUCAACUCCGGAACUGCAUCUGAAACUAUGUUUCUUGAGUGCUGGAGAGGAAAGCGGAAUUCCUAGUGUAGCGGUGAAAUGCGUAGAUAUUAGGAGGAACACCAGUGGCGAAGGCGGCUUUCUGGACAGUAACUGACGAUGAGGCGCGAAAGCGUGGGGAGCAAACAGG